AUGAGCUCGGCAUCGCCAUUCCCACCCCCCUCGCCGCCGCCGCCGUCGUCGAGCGCUAGCGUCCCGAUGGUGAUGAUCACCGUGGUGGGCAUACUCGCGGCGUUCGCGCUGCUGGCGGGCUACUACGCGUUCGUCACCAGGUGCCAGCCGCUCCGCGCGCUGCUCUCGCGCGGCGGCCCGGCGUCGGUGACCCCCGGCACUUCCCCGCCCGCGGUGGCCGAGGAGAAGCGAGGCCUCGGGCUGCCGCUCAUCCGCAUGCUCCCGGUCGUCAGGUUCACGGCGGCGGAGGACGCGAUGGCGCCGAGGAUAUCCGUGUCGGAGUGCGCCGUCUGCCUGAGCGAGUUCGCGGAGCGGGAGCGCGUGCGCCUGCUGCCCGGCUGCUCCCACGCCUUCCACAUCGACUGCAUCGACACCUGGCUGCAGGGCAGCGCCCGGUGCCCCUUCUGCCGGAGGGACGUCACCCUGCCGGCCCCGCACCCGCAAUACCAUCGGCGGCCGCCGUCCUUUCGCCGUCGGGACGAGCAGCUCCCGACCAGCGGCAACGACGACGACGGCGGCGCCAGCAUCGUGAUCGAGGUGAGAGGGCAGCGCGAGACCUGGUCCGACGGCAGGAGGGGCCGGAAGAAGAAGGCGGAGAGCGUGGGCGACGAGGCGGUGGACACGAGGAAGAAUGGGGAGUUCGCGGCGGUGCAGCCGAUGCGGCGGUCGCUCUCCAUGGACUCGUGCGACGCCAAGCAGCGGCAGCUCUACGUGUCCGUCGUCCGGGAGUUCCUCGAGCAGAGAUAG
rnacentral:rRNA from 1 species